rnacentral:misc_RNA from 1 species
GAAAUGCGAUACGCAAUGCGAAUUGCAGAAUUCCGCGAGUCAUCAGAUCUUUGAACGCAAUUGGCGCUGGUUUAACCGCCAGCAUGUUUGUUUCAGUGUGUUAGGAAUCACAUAUCUCAAUGCGAUUGAGGGACCUCCGCCCCCCCCUUUAUUGGGGGGUCGGGAGCCCUUCUCUCGUUAAACACGGAGGUGUCGAGCUUUAGCGCGACCGAACGAAGUAGUCACUUCUUGAAAGUGAUCUCGUUCGCUGUUGGCGGGGCUCACUAAGACGCUUCAUAACAAUUUCAUCAAGAAGGAGUUUACUCUUCUUCUUCUUUUUUCCCACAACACCUGAAAUCAAGCAAGAUCACCCGCUGAACUUAA